UAUCAGUGGAGACCAGAAACCAUAAAAAACGGGGCGUAACCGAAAAGCCAGAUGAGUAAGGGUAAUA
rfam:Bacteroidetes bacterium GWA2_32_17 gwa2_scaffold_26734, whole genome shotgun sequence.